rnacentral:lncRNA from 12 species
CCGGCGGGCCUUUCCCGCGAGUCCGCGUGCUUGCUGAACUACAACCGAAGACAAGCGCGGGGCAAAGAGGAACUGACGCGCGCUCUCGGUCAUCACGUCCAGUUUCUGCGGCUGCCGCUGUUGCAUUCGCGUGCUGCCAUGCACAUAUAUGCCGCAUAGAAAGACUCCAGACACGGAUUACAUCCCACAGGCUGCGAACAGUUGCUCCAGAACAGGAACAAGAGUUUGACAUCCUGUGUGUUUACAACGACAUGGGAAAAAGACCCUCAUCUGUCCAGUAAGAAGAAUGUUUCCGUUGCACAGAGAGAGGUAAGUCUUUAUCAGAUCCUGAGACCCUUGUUCAAAGUGUUGAUAUUUUAAUAAAUAAACCAAAAUGAUUAUUUGAUCUAUUUUAACUGCUAACAAUCAUUUUACAGAAUCUACAGAAAAAAUAAAUUUCAUUAUUAUUAUUUUGCAAUGUUGCAAAUUAAAUAUAGUGUAAAUUAAUUUUAAUAUUGUAUGCAUUUAAAAUAUAUAUGUAAUUUUGUGUAUGUCUCAUUGUUCAUCACUAAGAAUGUGUAAAUCGGACAGCUUGCUGUCUGUAUAUUAAAAAAACGACAAUGCACUUCAGGGUUAUUAUAGUAACUAAAACCAAAAUAAAUAAACCUCUCUGUGCUUAAAAUAAAAAUACACAUAAAAUAAAAUAAAAUAUUUAAAAAACCUUUAAGCUGAUUUAAAUUCAGCAGCAUUUCUCAUUUUCAUUUAGUUUUACUUGAUUUACUAAAAUAACUAAAACUCAAAUAAAAUCUGUGUAGGCAUAAACAAAUAAAAAAAUUAAUUCAACAUAUAAUAAAAACUAAAAUAGCUUGUCAGUGAUAGUAAAGUAACACUGAUGCGCUUCAAGCCAAGUCAUCUUUGAUCUUAUAGAGCAUUAUAAUACAGACUGUUGUAAAGCAGCACAUAGAGAAAUGCAAUUAAAUGCAAAAAUCACUUUGUAAAAUGAACUAAGCACCUGUUUUUCAGAGAAUGACCCAUUUAUCCUGCUCUUAGUGGGACAUAUUAUACAGGAAUUAUGACUCCAUAGAUAAAGGGAGAUUUCUUCUCGUACUGUAUUAAUCUCUUGGAGAAAUGACACAGAAUAUGAAAAGGUCAUGGGAUGUUGUUUAUGAAACAGCCAGUAUUGUGUUUUUUUAGUUGCCCUGACGACUGUACAAUGUAUGUUCUGCAGUGUCUCAAGUGUCCAUCUCAGUGUGCUGAGGCUUUAUAGAUGAUCAUAAAGCUGUUUUGACCUUCAGGAGGCCUGUAACAGGUUAAAUCAGUGGAGUAGUGACGGUGCAGUUAAUUAGUUCAGUGGCGGUAAGGUGUGAUGCUGUCGGGUCAGAACACGCUUGGCCUAAUUACUUCUUUCUAGCUGGAUUGUCCUUCAAACGAUCCCACUUUGUUUUAAAGGAACAGUUCACUCAAAAAUGAACAUUUGCUGAAAAUCGUCUCACCCGCAGGUCAUCCAAGAUUAGGAUGAGUUUGUUUCUUCAUCAGAUUUGGAGAAAUGUAGCAUUGCAUCAGUGUCUCAGCAAUGGAUGCUCUGCAGUGAAUGGGUGCCGUCAGAAUGAGAGUCCAAACAGCUGAUAAAAACAUCACAAUAAUCCACACCACUCCAGUCCAUCAGUUGACGUCUUGAGAAGUUAAAUCCAUCUAGACAUUUUUUAAUAUAAACCUUUGCUUCCAGCUAAAAUACGAGUCCAUAAUAACACUUCCUCCAGUGAAAAAGUGUUCUGGUGUGAAUCAGGAGAGAAAUCUGCACAGCUCAAGCACCGU